rnacentral:rRNA from 4 species
AAAACAUGUCUUUUUGAUAAAAAUUUAAAGUCCGGUCUGCUCACUGAAUUAUUUUAAAGAGCCGCAGUAUAUUGACUGUGCAAAGGUAGCAUAAUCAAUAGUUUUUUAAUUGAAAACUAGAAUGAAAGAUUAGACGAAAAAUUAAUUUUCUUUGUUUUAAUAAAUUUAAUUUUAAAUUUAAGUGAAAAUGCUUAAAUAUAAUUAAAAGACGAGAAGACCCUAUAGAUUUUUAUUAUUGAAAUAAAUUUUUAAAUUUAAUUUAAUAAAAUAAUUUAAUUGGGGCGAUUUUAUAAUAUAAAUAACUUAAUUUUUUUAAACCAUAAAUAAUUGAAUGUUUGAUCUAAAAUUUUUAAAGAAAAGAUUAAAUUACCUUAGGGAUAACAGCGUAAUUUUAUUUAAGAGUUCAUAUCUAUAAUAAAGUUUGCGACCUCGAUGUUGAAUUAAGAUAAUAUAUUGGAGUAGAAAUUAAUAUAAUUAGUCUGUUCGACUAUUAAAUUCUUACGUGAUCUG